GGGUGUUAGAGAGGACUUUGAAACGU
rnacentral:piRNA from 1 species